rnacentral:lncRNA from 13 species
AUGAGGAGUGCUCUCCGUGAGGACGUUCCCCCUCCUGCCUUUGGCUUCGGAUUUCAGGAGCCUGUGCCCCUCCUCUGCCCUCCUCCUCCACUCCGCAGGAGAUUCUCAGCCAGUGCAACUGAAGUGUCUGCUGAGAACUUGAAGAAAAGCUUAACCAGGACAAGAGGAUGGAUUUUGAAUGUGCAGUGGAAUAGUCUGAACUUCCCAGAUGACAGAGAUAAGGUAAGAGUGACAAAUUCGUGGGGGAAAAUUGACAAUAUCCUUUUGCUUUUAAGGGGAAAAAUGUUUCAAAGUGGAUGUGAGCUGUGACAAAGGGAGGCCAUUUCCCCUUGCCCACCCUUCACACAGGAGGUGCAAGUGUCACCCCAGCACUGAGCAGAUGAGGCUGGGCUCACCUUUGAGUCCCCUUGAGCUUCUCAGGGCCUCACCACCCUCCCAGGGAAGAGUUUCUUCCCAAUAUCCACUUCCAACUGCCCUGCCAUGAGCAAGGACAUCUUGAACUAGAGCAGAUUUCUCAGGGCCCCACUGCUCAGCUCUGCCAUGCUCCUCCCUCCCCCUUCCUAAGGGGAUUUAACCCCUUUUGUGUGGUUUUCCCCCUCCCACCCAUCACAGCAGCUGCUUCACCUGUCCUGCAGAAGCCACCAUGGACAGUCAGGGAACACGAUCUGCCCUGCAAAGCUGGUGAGGGAGGAGGCAGAGGAGAAGCACCGGCAGUGAGAGCA